rnacentral:rRNA from 1 species
AAACAAAUAAAUUAAAACUUUCAACAACGGAUCUCUUGGCUCUGGCAUCGAUGAAGAACGCAGCGAAAUGCGAUAAGUAAUGUGAAUUGCAGAAUCCAGUGAAUCAUCGAAUCUUUGAACGCACAUUGCGCCCGCCAGCAUUCUGGCGGGCAUGCCU